CGGUUGAUCCCGCCGGACCCGACUGCUAUCGGAUUGAGACUAAGCCAUGCGAGUCAACCCGCAAGGGUGGCGGACGGCUCAGUAACACGUAGUGAACCUAACCUGAGGACGUGGACAACCAUGGGAAACUGUGGCUAAACCGCGAUAGGUCAUUGUUUCUGGAAUGGGCAAUGGCUCAAACCUACAUGGCCUCAGGAUGGCACUGCGGCCGAUCAGGUUGUUGGUGAGGUAAUGGCCCACCAAGCCUGUAACCGGUACGGGCUCUGAGAGGAGGAGCCUGGAGAUGGGCACUGAGACAAGGGCCCAGGUCCUAUGGGACGCAGCAGGCGCGAAACCUUCGCAAUAGGCGAAAGCCUGACGAGGUUAUUCCGAGUGUUCCCUGCUAAAGGGAUCUUUUGCCAGCUCUAAAAAUGCUGGUGAAUAAGGGGUGGGCAAGCCUGGUGUCAGCCGCCGCGGUAAUACCAGCACCCCGAGUGGUCGGGAUGAUUAUUUGGCCUAAAGCAUCCGUAGCCGGCGCAUCAAGUCUUCCGUUAAAUCCACCUGCUCAACAGAUGGGCUGCGGGAGAUACUGCUGCGCUAGGAGGCGGGAGAGGCGAGGGGUAUUCCAUGGGUAGGGGUAAAAUCCUCUGAUCCAUGGAGGACCACCAGUGGCGAAGGCGUCUCGCCAGAACGCGCUCGACGGUGAGGGAUGAAAGCUGGGGGAGCAAACCGGAUUAGAUACCCGGGUAGUCCCAGCUGUAAACGAUGUAGGCUCGGUGAUGGACUGGAUUCGAUCCAGCCCAGUGCCGCAGGGAAGCCGUUAAGCCUACCGCCUGGGGAGUACGGUCGCAAGACUGAAACUUAAAGGAAUUGGCGGGGGAGCACCACAAGGGGUGAAGCCUGCGGUUCAAUUGGAUUCAACGCCGGG
rnacentral:rRNA from 1 species